AUAAACAAAUACUGUGAUGUCAGAAGUGGUCGAACUGGUUGCUAACUUCGACGCAGAACGAAAAAGACAAACCAGCUCACUUCUGACGACUCACCUGAACGAUGGCUCAACUAUCUGUUACAGUGAGGCUCACUGCAGGUUUGAGGAACGGCAGCUCAUCGUCUGUCUGUGGACACUGCGGCUGUCUAAACUUGAUGUAUUGGAAGAAUAAAGUAUAACUGAUUGUGGACUUCGGAAGGGGUGGGGACCCACAGUCCCGUUUAUAUCAACGGGUCGAUGGUGGAAAGGGUCAAGAGCUUCAAAUUCCUGGGCGUGCACAUCUCUAAAGAUCUUUCCUGGUCCGAGAACACUGAUGCAAUUAUUAAGAAAGCACAUCAGCGCCUCUACUUCUUGAGAAGAUUACGGAGAAUCGGUAUGUCAAGGAGGACUCUCUCGAACUUCUACAGGUGCACAGUAGAGAGCGUGCUGACCGGUUGCAUUGUGGCUUGGUUCGGCAACCUGAGCGUCCAGGAGUAGAAACGGCUGCAAAAAGUUGUAGACACUGCCCAGUCCAUCAUUGGCUCUGACCUCCCUACCAUCGAGGGGAUCUAUCGCAGUUGCUGCCUCAAAAAGGCUGCCAGCAUCAUCAAGUACCCACACCAUCCUGGCCACACACUCAUCUCUCCGCUGCCAUCAGGUGGAAGGUACAGGAGCCUGAAAUCUGCAACAUCCAGGUUCAGGAACAGCUGCUUCCCCACAGCCAACAGACUAUUAAACACAACUUCAAACAAACUCGGAACUAUAACAGCCUAUUGCACUU